AUCGAUAGUAAUCUCUAACAAACACAAUCUACCAAAGCCUUAUCUCAAUCUAUCAAGCAUAUCUUCAUACCAACUCGGCCUUAUCACUCACCACUUCUAGAACGUAUAUCAAACCAGAUCAGACCGAACUUAACCGGUCUCAAUAUUCACCAUCCUCGAUGGCUCAAGAAUAGUCUUUUCCCUUUUUUCACAUUUGGUCCCCGCUGUUUGAGAGUCUUCGGCUUUGUCCCCCAGAACUUUCAUUUGGUGCACAUCUUCCUCGUUUUUGCUCCAAAACUUCCGAUUAUGUUAUCCAAGCACCUGUAUAUGCAAAAUGUACAUAUGCAACUUCUAAUAAUACACCUAAAUGCAAUAUUUAAACACUUAAAAUGACCAAAAAGAAUGCUUAAUAAUGUACAAAAACACUAUAUAUCAGUAGUCUACACAUGUAAAUGUAAAUAUCCAAGGACAUGGGAAUACAACCAUGCAACUGUUCGCAGACGGUAUCUAUGUAUACAACAAACUCCUCUAUACAAAUCCGCCAC
rnacentral:lncRNA from 1 species